UAGGGAAUUUUGCGCAAUGGGGGGAACCCUGACGCAGCGACGCCGCGUGAGUGACGAAGGCCUUCGGGUCGUAAAACUCUGUCCAUGGGGACGAAGAAAGACGGUACCCGUGGAGGAAGCCCCGGCUAACUACGUGCCAGCAGCCGCGGUAAGACGUAGGGGGCGAGCGUUGUCCGGAAUUACUGGGCGUAAAGGGCGCGUAGGCGGCAAGGUAAGUUAGAUGUGAAAACUCAGAGCUUAACUCCGAGAUUGCAUCUAAAACUGCCUAGCUUGAGUGCAUUAGAGGAGAGCGGAAUUCCUAGUGUAGCGGUGAAAUGCGUAGAUAUUAGGAAGAACACCAGUGGCGAAGGCGGCUCUCUGGGAUGUAACUGACGCUGAGGCGCGAAAGCUGGGGGAGCGAACGGG
rnacentral:rRNA from 1 species